GAUGAACGCUGGCGGCGUGCCUAAUACAUACAAGUCGAGCGAACAGACGAGGAGCUUGCUCCUCUGACGUUAGCGGCGGACGGGUGAGUAACACGUGGAUAACCUACCUAUAAGACUGGGAUAACUUCGGGAAACCGGAGCUAAUACCGGAUAAUAUAUUGAACCGCAUGGUUCAAUAGUGAAAGACGGUUUUGCUGUCACUUAUAGAUGGAUCCGCGCCGCAUUAGCUAGUUGGUAAGGUAACGGCUUACCAAGGCAACGAUGCGUAGCCGACCUGAGAGGGUGAUCGGCCACCCUGGAACUGAGACACGGUCCAGACUCCUACGGGAGGCAGCAGUAGGGAAUCUUCCGCAAUGGGCGAAAGCCUGACGGAGCAACGCCGCGUGAGUGAUGAAGGUCUUCGGAUCGUAAAACUCUGUUAUUAGGGAAGAACAAAUGUGUAAGUAACUAUGCACGUCUUGACGGUACCUAAUCAGAAAGCCACGGCUAACUACGUG
rnacentral:rRNA from 1 species